GCCAACGUGUCACGCCCAAUAUGCGAUCCUAUCUGAGAGGAACUCAAAGGUCCCACCAAGGAUAGAGCCGCAUAUUGAAGACGCUUUGCAAGGUGCAUAUCAUUACAUCGUACCAUUACAUAAUAGUUGGGGAUACAUACAAAGACAGACAAUGCCACAUGAAUACAUCAAACAUCAUACAUGAGAACAACAUCCGACUACGGGUGAAACACAAACAAAAACUCAAACGACAUCCAUCCUGCUAGCCCAGGCUGCUGACCCGGAACCUAUCCCCUGUUCGAAGAAGAAGUAGAAGAAGAACUCCAAAACAAGUAAACAUCGCUCUCACGUCAUGAUCAUGGCAUUACCUGUACCUGCAACUGUUGUUGUAGUAAUCUGUGAGCCACGAGAACUCAGCAAUCCCAUUACCACGAUAUGGAAUGGAUAAAUGGUGAGGUUGCAGCAAGCGACAAAGCAUUGUAUGGUGGCUAACUUACGAAUACAAGAGUAAGAUGAGAAACUACACAAACGGUCGCAAACUAGUGAUGAUCAAGAAGUGAUCCUAAACUACUUACGUUCAAACAUAACCCCACCGUGUUCUCUUCUCGACCAUACUCGAAAAGAGACGAUCACGGUUACGCACGCGGUUGGUGUAUUUUAGUUGAGUUUAGUUCGAGUCCACUACAAUCAGAUAUUAACAAAUUCUCAUCUGCCACAUAAAUGCGGGCACGGUUCUCAAAAGUUUAAACCCUGCAGGGGUGUCCCAACUUAGCCCAUGACAAGCUCACAAUCUGCGGAGACAAUUCUCCAUCGCGGGACAUCCGAUCAAACUCGGGAUCCCGGUGCACAAGACAUUUCGACAAUGGUAAAACAAAACCAGCAAGACCUCCCGACAUGCCGACACACUGAUAGUAGCCGCGCGUAUCUUGUCUCAGGCCACGAUCGGAUGGGACAAGCUACGAGUAAAACCUAUCCUCGAGUUUCCCCGUGGUGGCCCCGCAGGCUGCCGAGUUUGGAUCAACACUCAUGAGGAGCACUGGCCCGAGUUGUUGAUUAAGAGUCCUCGGGUGCUAGUCGGUCCCUAUGCAAGUGUUAGUUGUUAUUAGGCAAAUGGUAAAACCAAUGUUGGGCCUUGCUGCAAGAGUUUUAUUCAAAGCGAAUUGUCAAGAGGGGCCCAUAAACCCUGAUCGUGUUAGGGACGCAAAAUCAAGGAACAUAACAUCGGUAUGAUGGAAACUAGGGCGACAAGAGUGGAACAAAACACCACGCAAAAGGCCGAGCCUUCCACCCUUUACCAAGUAUAUAGAUGCAUUAAUUAAAUAAGAGAUAUUGUGAUAUGCCAAGAUAUCCAUGAUAUACAUGUCCCAAGAUGGAACAACCUGCAAUUGCACCUGCAACUAGCAACACUAUAAGAGGGGCUGCGUAGAGCGUUAACAUGGCCAAACAACGGUUUUCUAGGAUGGUGAAAAAGGUUAGAGGCUAGCAAGGCAAUUUGGGAGGCUUAAUAAACAAGUGGUAGGUAGCACGACAUAGCGAUAGCAUCAAGAUAACUAGCAAAGCGAAGAUAGUAGUGAGAUCCAAGGUGACGGUCAUCUUGCCUGAAAUCCCGCUAGGAAGAAGAUCGAAUCCAUGAAGAAGACGAACGGGCGUAGUCGAACGAAUCCUCACGAUCGCAACGAAAUAGGAACUAUCGAGAAGAAGCACACCCGGAAAGAAGCAAACAACAUGGUAAACACACAACACAUAAACAAGCCAAGGUGCUCAACCAAGUAUGAUGCAUUACAAAGCUAUAUUAUGGUACUCAUGGCAAGAGGUGAUGCAUACAAGAGCAACACAUGAAGCAAGUUUAAAUCAGGUCGGAAUCAUCAUAUAACAAUUCCGGAAAGACCCCAUAUGCAAAUUUCAAAAUUGGUACUGAUCUGAAUAAACCAUUAAGUUAAAGUUGUUAAACAGUAAGUUAAGAUGCACCAUGAUGAUCUACACGUUUUUCUAGUCAAGUUACAAGUAAAGUUCAUUUAAUUCGGAGCUACGACCUAGAAGAUAUGAGCAUCACAAGUUAAACAUAGCAUUGAUGCAAUGGCAAGCAAAACACAAUGACAAACACUCCAAAACAUGGAUGCAACAUGGCAUGAUGAAACUACAUGCAAAACCAAGCAAGUUUCAUAUAGGACAUGAUCAAAACGGAGCAACGGCUCAACACAUACACCCGAAACAAGUUUCAAACACAAACUAUCCCAAACAGCAACUAGGCAUCUUACACGCAACAUAACAACAUGAUACAAGAACAAGAUAGGCACAAGCAUGAUGUGCACUUGAAGAACAGCUCACAUGCUUUAAUUAUCAUCAAGGUUCAGGUUCAUAGGCAGCAAUAUUAAUCCAACAUGACAAAGAAAAAAGGCAACUUUAUAACACAAAUUAUGACUUAGUGAAAAACAGGGCAUACAUGUGAGCAGGAAUAACAUGUUGACAUGUCGGAAGCAUGAAACAAGCAUGCUACAUUGCAACAUCAUGGCAAACAAAAGCAUGGCAUUAAAUUAAAUGUUAAACAUGGCAAAACAUGAUUACUAAGCAUUUCCAUGUAACCUCUAGAUCAAAGGCAUUCAUCAAGACAAGAAUGCAAGUUAUAACAGAUUCCCAGACUUUGUGAAACAUAGUAAGGCUGAAACCAGAUUCAUGAUGCAUACAUUGAGACAAUAGAAUUAUAUGAUACAUGAAAAAUUUAUGGCGUAAAAGGGCAUUUCGAACAUAUACAUGUCAAGCACUACAAAACAUGAUAACUGAGCUACUGCCAAAUACCACCAGAACAUGUUUAAAACAUCAUGGCAAUAUUACAAAUAAUAGCAGAUUCCCAGACUUAGUGAAAUUUACUGGACAUAGCAGAAACAACAUUAAGUAGGCAUGUUUGCAAGUUUGUUAAGCUUAACACACAACAUAUCAUAGCAUGCAAAUACAACCACCAGUAAGGGCAUGUACAACGGCAUCUAGUCAACCAUCUGGAACGCAUGCCAUGCAGGAUUUUCUUCUAAGUGGAGGAGAGAGUUGAAAGAAAGAGAAUAAGGGUGUCUGUAAAUCGACAGACGGUCGAUAGCUCACAAAAUUCGCUCCUUACGGAUAGCCUGUUGUCGUUGUACGUGUAGGCGUCGCUAAUUUCCUAUCUGCCCUGCCGAACCGUCAUUCCCAUGUUCCAUGAUUAUACACAAGAUUUAUUUUUUUGUUCCUCUUUUUGUGGGAGUUACAGACGGAAAAUGGGUUGUCUGUUGUACAGGGAGUCUGUUCUGCUGUCUACACAUGAUUGCUACAUACGGGGUUAUCUAAACUAAUGUACAUGCCCUAAGAAGCCAUGUUUGUGCAACUUUCAUGUCAACAAAAUGGUCAUAGGAUGCAUACAACACUAGCUAUUCGCACGGCAAAAAAGAACUUACUAUUAACAGGCUGACAGCAACAUUAUUUAGCAAUUUGUGAGCAUGGUAACAACAAGCUACAUUAGGCUAUAAUUACAAAAAAGGCAAUGGAUGGAUAGAGCAUAACAUGUAAAACAAAACCUGCAGAAUGAAAAUCUACAAAAUAUGCAUGGAUUCACUAGUAGCAACAAGUUAACAUGGCAACAUAAUAUGACAGAUGCAGACUUAGCAGAAAUCGCCAAGUCACUGAAAUCAGCAACAGCAAGUACCCCACUUUGCAAGCUUGUGCUAGUCACCACAGGGAAUAUAAAAAUACAUGGAUUGCACCACAGAGAAGAUGGCAUGAUUAUUCUCCUAAAACAUGCUGGCAUGAUGCUCAAAAGAAGAUCACACAAAAUGCUAUGAAAAAGACAAAUAGGCAAGUGACAACAAUCUUCAGCAGGUUAUAACAUUUAGCACUUUUGCAACGCGGAUUAAGGCAUCAAUAAGGACAGUAACAUGCAUGAAAACUACACCAUCAUGUAGACCGUUUAAAGAUGAACAUUUUGAAAUAAUAUACACAUAAAUCAAAGCCACAUGCACAAAGUUAUGGCAUGACAAAGAUGCACACAUAAUAUAGCAGAUCUGGGGACUUGGCAGAAAAAUUUCAACCUCGGGGAAAGUGGAUGACGCGGUGCGGGAUGAAGGGGAUCUGGGGUAGCGUUUGGUUCAACGGAUAAGGAGGAACCAGGAAGGGGCCAUCCCGGCGGCGGUUGGCAGAGGAGGCCGACGCCAUGGCGGGGUGGCCGUGCGCCGUAGAGGACGAGGGUCGGCG
rnacentral:lncRNA from 1 species